GCCGCCGUAACUCAGUAGGUAGAGUAUCUGCAUGGUAAGCAGAAAGUCAGCAGUUCGAAUCUGCUCGGUGGCUCCA
rnacentral:tRNA from 1 species